UCCUGCUAACCAGAAAUAACCAUUAAAAUUGGUUGAACAUCCAUCUGAUAUCUUUGUAUAAAUACAGAUAGCCACUAAUAUAUAUAUGGAGAAAAAAAAGU